GAUGAGCGCUGACAGAAUGCUUAACACAUGCAAGUCGAUGGGGAAGUGGUGCUUGCACCAUGGCAACCAUGGCGGACGGGUGAGUAACGCGUAAGGGACUUACCUGCAGGACUGGGAUAACAGGGGGAAACUCCUGACAAGACCGGAUAAUGUCAUGGAGCUGCAUGGCUUUAUGAUGAAAGGAGACGCCUGCGGAGAGCCUUGCGUCCUAUUAGCUAGUUGGUGAGGUAAUGGCUCACCAAGGCGAAGAUAGGUAGCCGGCCUGAGAGGGUGGACGGCCACAAGGGGACUGAGAUACGGCCCUUACUCCUACGGGAGGCAGCAGUGGGGAAUAUUGGACAAUGGGGGCAACCCUGAUCCAGCAAUUCUGUGUGCACGAAGAAGGUUUUCGGAUUGUAAAGUGCUUUCAGCAGGGAAGAAGUAAGUGACGGUACCUGCAGAAGAAGCGACGGCUAAAUACGU
rnacentral:rRNA from 1 species